rnacentral:rRNA from 1 species
GUUAGGAAUCUUCCACAAUGGGGGCAACCCUGAUGGAGCAACACCGCGUGCUGGAUGAAGGCCUUCGGGUCGUAAACAGCUUUUGUAUACGAAGAAUAUGACGGUAAUAUACGAAUAAGGUUCGGCUAACUACGUGCCAGCAGCCGCGUUCAUACGUAGGACCCAAGCGUUAUCCGGAGUUACUGGGCGUAAAGAGUUGUGUAGGCGGCUUAUUAAGCGAGUAGUGAAAUCUGGUGGCUCAACCAUCAACACAUUGCUCGAACUGAUAGGCUUGAGAAUGGUAGAGGUAGUUGGAAUUUCUUGUGUAGGAGUGAAAUCCGUAGAUAUAAGAAGGAACACCAAUGGCGUAGGCAGACUACUGGACCAUUUCUGACGCUGAGGCACGAAAGCGUGGGGAGCGAACCGGAUUAGAUACCCUUGUAGUCC